GUUAUUGGAGGGAUCUGUUUAGAGACCCCAAAGUAGGCGCAUUCUGAAAGAAUUGGGGACUGACGACAUGGGACUUCGGUGCAGAGCCCGGAAGCAUAGGCACACACAGAUUGGGCAUUAAAGAAAGAAGAAUAUGAAAAGUAAGUAUUACCUUACAUUCAAUUGUUUUCUUCUGU
rnacentral:lncRNA from 1 species